rnacentral:rRNA from 1 species
AGCGAACGCUGGCGGCAGGCCUCACACAUGCAAGUCGAACGAAGUCUUCGGACUUAGUGGCGGACGGGUGAGUAACACGUGGGAACGUGCCUUUAGGUUCGGAAUAACUCAGGGAAACUUGUGCUAAUACCGAAUGUGCCCUUCGGGGGAAAGAUUUAUCGCCUUUAGAGCGGCCCGCGUCUGAUUAGCUAGUUGGUGAGGUAAUGGCUCACCAAGGCUACGAUCAGUAGCUGGUCUGAGAGGAUGACCAGCCACAUUGGGACUGAGACACGGCCCAAACUCCUACGGGAGGCAGCAGCGGGGAAUCUUGCGCAAUGGGCGAAAGCCUGACGCAGCCAUGCCGCGUGGAUGAUGAAGGUCUUAGGAUUGUAAAAUCCUUUCACCGGUGAAGAUAAUGACUGUAGCCGGAGAAGAAGCCCCGGCUAACUUCGUGCCAGCCGCCGCAGUAAUAC